AGUGAACGCUGGCGGUAGGCCUAACACAUGCAAGUCGAACGGCAGCACAGGAGAGCUUGCUCUCUGGGUGACGAGUGGCGGACGGGUGAGGAAUACAUCGGAAUCUACUUUUUCGUGGGGGAUAACGUAGGGAAACUUACGCUAAUACCGCAUACGACCUACGGGUGAAAGCAGGGGAUCUUCGGACCUUGCGCGAUUGAAUGAGCCGAUGUCGGAUUAGCUAGUUGGCGGGGUAAAGGCCCACCAAGGCGACGAUCCGUAGCUGGUCUGAGAAGAUGAUCAGCCACACUGGAACUGAGACACGGUCCAGACGCCUACGGGAGGCAGCAGUGGGGAAUAUUGGACAAUGGGCGCAAGCCUGAUCCAGCCAUACCGCGUGGGUGAAGAAGGCCUUCGGGUUGUAAAGCCCUUUUGUUGGGAAAGAAAUCCAGCUGGUUAAUACCCGGUUGGGAUGACGGUACCCAAAGAAUAAGCACCGGCUAACUUCGUGCCAGCCGCCGCCGUAA
rnacentral:rRNA from 1 species